GACGAACGCUGGCGGCGUGCCUAAUACAUGCAAGUCGAACGCUGUGGGGACGGGUGUGUAACACGUGGGUAACCUCCCAUCAGAGGGGAUAACACUUGGAAACAGGUGCUAAACCGAUAUUCAUGGAUGGACCCGCGGUGCAUUCGCUAGUUGGUAAGGUAACGGCUCACCAAGGCCACGAUGCAUAGCCGAGCUGAGAGGGUGAUCGGCCACACAGGGACUGAGACACGGCCCAGACUCCUACGGGCGGCAGCAGGGGGGAAUCUUCGGCAAUGGACGAAAGUCUGACCGAGCAACGCCGCGUGAGUGAAGAAGGUGUGCGGAGCGUAAAACUCUGUUGUUAGAGAAGCGGUAACUAACCAAAAAGCCACGGCUAACUACGUGCCAGCAGCCGCGGUAAUAC
rnacentral:rRNA from 1 species